GAAAUGCGAUAAGUAAUGUGAAUUGCAGAAUUCAGUGAAUCAUCGAAUCUUUGAACGCACCUUGCGCUCCUUGGUAUUCCUUGGAGCAUGCCUGUUUGGGUAUCAUGAAAUCUUCAAAGUAAAUCUUUUGUUAACUCAAUUGGUUUCUACUUUGGUAUUGGAGGUCUUUGCAGCUUCACACCUGCUCCUCUUUGUUCAUUAGCUGGAUCUCAGUGUUAUGCUUGGUUCCACUCGGCGUGAUAAGUUAUCUAUCGCUGAGGACACUGUAAAAGGUGGCCAAGGUAAAUGCAGAUGAACCGCUUCUAAUAGUCCAUUGACUUGGACAAUACUUUUAUGAUCUGAUCUCAAAUCAGGUAGGACUACCCGCUGAACUUAAGC
rnacentral:misc_RNA from 1 species